CCUACGGGAGGCAGCAGUGGGGAAUCUUGCGCAAUGGGCGAAAGCCUGACGCAGCAACGCCGCGUGGGGGAUGAAGGCUCUCGGGUUGUAAACCCCUUUCAGCAGGGACGAAAUUGACGGUACCUGCAGAAGAAGCCCCGGCCAACUACGUGCCAGCAGCCGCGGUAAUACGUAGGGGGCGAGCGUUGUCCGGAUUCAUUGGGCGUAAAGAGCUCGUAGGCGGCUGAGUAAGUCGGGUGUGAAACCUCCAGGCUCAACCUGGAGCCGCCACUCGAUACUGCUCUGGCUUGAGUCCGGUAGGGGCCCACGGAAUUCCUGGUGUAGCGGUGAAAUGCGCAGAUAUCAGGAGGAACACCGGUGGCGAAGGCGGUGGGCUGGGCCGGUACUGACGCUGAGGAGCGAAAGCGUGGGGAGCGAACAGGAUUAGAUACCCUGGUAGU
rnacentral:rRNA from 1 species